GGGUGAGUAACACGUGGGUAACCUGCCUGUAAAACUGGGAUAACUCCGGGAAACCGGGGCUAAAACCGGAUGCUUGAUUGAACCGCAGGGUUCAUUUAUCAGAGGGGGCUUUGACUAUCAAUUAACAAAUGACCCCCGGCGCAAUAACUUGGUGGGGAGGUUACGGCCCCACAAGGGCACCAUUCGUAACCCAACUUAAAGGGUGGUCGGCCACCCUGGGACUGAAACCCGGCCCAAAACCCCACCGGAGGGAGCAAUAGGGAAUCUUCCCCAAUGGAACAAAGUCUUAACGAACAACCGCCCGGGGGUUAAUAAGGUUUUCGGAUCGUAAAACUCCUUUGGUAGGGAAAAAAGUACCGGUCCAAAGGGGGUUCCCUUACCGUUCCUAACCCGAUGCCCCCGCUACUUCCUGCCAGCCACCGCGGAAUCCAAGUUGGAGCGGAUGUCCGGAUUUAUAUGGCGUAACGCGCGCGCCAGGCGGUUCUUAGUCUAUUCGAAGCCCCCCGCUCCACCGGAUGAUCAUGGAAUCUGGGAUCUUGAUGCGAGUAGAUGUGAGUGGAAUCCCGUGUACGUUAAUGGUAAGUACGCAGAUCCAGUGGCAAGCCACUCUUGGCGGACGACCAGCCGAGCUGAGGCGCGAAAGCGUGGGGAGCGAACCAGGAUCAGAUACCUGGUUUCCACGCCGUAAACGAUGACUCCUAAGCGUCAGAGGGUCUCCGCCCCUGAGUGAUGCAGCAAACGCAUAAAGCACUCCGCCUGGGGAGUACGGUCGCAAGAUUGAAACUCAAAGGAAGGAGGGGGGCCCGCCCAAGCGGGGGAGCAUGUGGUUUAUUUGGAAGCAACGCGAAGAACCUAACCAGGUCGGACAUCCUCUGACAACCCAAGAGAUAGGGCUUCCCCUUCGGGGGCAGAGUGACAGGUGGUGCAUGGUGGUGGUCAGCUCGGGUCGUGAGAUGUGGGGUUAAGUCCCGCAACGAGCGCAACCCUUGAUUUUAGUGGCCAGCAUUCAGUCGGGCACUCUAAGGUGACUGCCGGUGACAAACCGGAGGAAGGUGGGGAUGACGUCAAAUCAUCAUGCCCCUUAUGACCUGGGCUACACACGUGCUACAAUGGGCAGAACAAAGGGCAGCGAAGCCGCGAGGGUAAGCGUAGAGAUGUCCAAUCCCACAAAUCUGUUCUCAGUUCGGAUCGCAGUCUGCAACUCGACUGCGUGAAGCGGAAUCGCUAGUAAUCGCGGAUCAGCAUGCCGCGGUGAAUACGUUCCCGGGCCUGUACACACCGCCCGUCACACCACGAGAGUGAGUUACACCCGAAGUCGGUGAG
rnacentral:rRNA from 1 species